UACGAGAGGCCCAAACGUUAUUCGGAAUUACUGGGCUUAAAGAGUUCGUAGGCGGCGCAGAAAGUAGGGUGUGAAAGCCCUCGGCUUAACCGAGGAAUUGCGCUCCAAACUACUGUGCUUGAGGAACCUAGAGGUGAGCAGAACAGAUGGUGGAGCGGUGAAAUGCGUUGAUAUCAUCUGGAAUACCGGAGGCGAAGGCGGCUCACUGGGGGUUUUCUGACGCUGAGGAACGAAAGCCAGGGUAGCGAACGGG
rnacentral:rRNA from 1 species